UACGGAGGGAGCUAGCGUUGUUCGGAAUUACUGGGCGUAAAGCGCACGUAGGCGGUUAUUCAAGUCAGAGGUGAAAGCCCGGGGCUCAACUCCGGAACUGCCUUUGAAACUAGAUAGCUUGAAUCCAGGAGAGGUGAGUGGAAUUCCGAGUGUAGAGGUGAAAUUCGUAGAUAUUCGGAGGAACACCAGUGGCGAAGGCGGCGAUCUGGGAAGAUACUGACGCUGAGGUGCGAAAGCGUGGGGAGCAAACAGG
rnacentral:rRNA from 1 species